GGAGGAUUAACCCUAAUGGUAAGGGAGCAGUUUGCUAAACUGUCAGUAGUCUUAAAGGAUGUAUAGGUUCAAAUCCUAUAUCCUCCGCAA
rnacentral:tRNA from 1 species